rnacentral:ncRNA from 13 species
UUAGCUCAGUUGGUAGAGCAUCUGACUGUAGUCAUAAUUUGUGAUCAGAGUGUCGCUAGUUCGAAUCUGGC